rfam:Gossypium hirsutum cultivar TM-1 chromosome 2, whole genome shotgun sequence
UAUUAAAAAUUUUAUCUAUUUUGUAUUUUUAAAAACCGAUGUGGCUAACGGAAUAACCAUAUAUUGACAUAUGGUGUGUCACAUGUACCUGAUAUUAAUAUACAAAUGCUACUUUUUAACAAUAGAAAUUGAUAGAAUUUUUAAAA